AGGGGUACACCUCAGGGAGAGGGCGCAUGCUUAGCAUACAUGAGGUCCUGGAUUCAAUUCCCAGUACCUCCA
rnacentral:tRNA from 1 species